rnacentral:rRNA from 1 species
AGAUUGAACGCUGGCGGCAUGCCUUACACAUGCAAGUCGAACGGCAGCACGGGAGCAAUCCUGGUGGCGAGUGGCGAACGGGUGAGUAAUACAUCGGAACGUGCCCAAUCGUGGGGGAUAACGCAGCGAAAGCUGUGCUAAUGCCGCAUAAGAUCUACGGAUGAAAGCAGGGGAUCGCAAGACCUUGCGCGAAUGGAGCGGCCGAUGGCAGAUUAGGUAGUUGGUGAGGUAAAGGCUCACCAAGCCUUCGAUCUGUAGCUGGUCUGAGAGGACGACCAGCCACACUGGGACUGAGACACGGCCCAGACUCCUACGGGAGCAGCAGGUGGGGAAUUUGGAACAAGUGGGACGAAAG